GAUGAACGCUAGCUACAGGCUUAACACAUGCAAGUCGAGGGGUAACGAGAGGAAAGCUUGCUUUCCUUGUCGACGACCGGCGCACGGGUGAGUAACGCGUAUCCAACCUGCCCCCAACUAAGGAAUAACCUUGCGAAAGUAAGACUAAUACCUUAUAAUUUCCUCAGAUGUCAUCUGACGAGGAAUAAAGAUUUAUCGGUUGUGGAUGGGGAUGCGUCUGAUUAGCUUGUUGGCGGGGUAACGGCACACCAAGGCAACGAUCAGUAGGGGUUCUGAGAGGAAGGUCCCCCACAUGGGAACUGAGACACGGUCCAAACUCCUACGGGAGGCAGCAGUGAGGAAUAUUGGUCAAUGGGCGAAAGCCUGAACCAGCCAAGUAGCGUGCAGGAUGACGGCCCUAUGGGUUGUAAACUGCUUUUAUACAGGAAUAAAGUUAGCCACGUGUGGUUAUUUGUAGGUACUGUAUGAAUAAGGACCGGCUAAUUCCGUGCCAGCAGCCGCCGUAA
rnacentral:rRNA from 1 species